CGACACACAUCCACACAGUAAUCAAACUCAUCCCAUCCAGCGCUGUGGAAAAACACGAUUGAGAAGCACUCGUCCAUUCCUGUGAAAAUGGUGGGGAGCUCCGUCCAGUUGUAGAAUGCAGUAUGGAUAAAUAUUAUCUGGAGAGCCUACUGAAUAAUUCUGAUAUGAAAAAUCUCCCUAUACUUGUUUUAGCAAACAAGUGUGAUGACGUGACACAAGAAUCAGUGGUGUAGGUCGUUUGGGGGGAGUGGAGGUUAUAGCUCCUACUCUUUCUUGACCUCGGCACUAGAUGGAGAGGCAGAAGAGAUAAAAGUGACAGUAAAUAACAAGGAGUAUACUGUGUGUGACAUGAAAGGCAAUUCUAAAGGAUGCCGUGCUUGGAAAAAUUACUUCAAGCAUGUACAUACACUGGUAUAUGUGAUGGAUUAUGCUGACAAGAGGCGAUGGAGUAUGGAUAAAUAUUAUCUGGAGAGCCUGCUGAAUAAUUCAGAUAUGAAAAAUCUCCCUAUACUUGUUUCAGCAAACAAGUGUGAUGACGUGGCACAAGAAUCAGUGGUGUAGGUCGUUUUGGGCAAGUGGAGGUUAUAGCUCCUACUCUUUCUUGACCUCAGCACUAGAUGGAGGUGAGUAACAAAUACUUUAUUUAUAUAAUUAAACUAAGUUGGUAUUUAAUUUGUCAUUGGAAAAACAUUUUGUUAUAAAUACUUAAUUGAUUGAUGUCCUGUAGAUCUUAGCCAGAGCAUAGGGCCUUGACAAAGCAGCAUUAACGAGUUCUAUUACGAGCCAGAACUUUCAGCUCCCUCCAGGUCUUUCCUUCCUUCUUUGUCUCCUCUUCAAUGGUUCUCCUCCAGGUUGUUUUUGGCCUUCCCCUUCCUCCGUCCCUGGGGAUUCGAGGAGAUUGCUUGCUUUACGACAGCAUAUUGGUCUUUCCGCAGGGUAUGUCCAAUCCACCUCCAUUUUCUGCUCUUAAUUUGUGUGGCUAUUGGCUCCUCAUUUGUUUGUUUCAAAAGUUCUUCAUUUGUUAUGAUGAUGUGCCUAAACACGCGAAGGAUCCCUCGGAGGCAGCAGUUGAUGAAUACUUGGAGACGCUUGAUGAUCUCAGCAGUGACUUUUCAAGUUUUGCAUCCGUAAAGGAGCACAGCUUUUACAUUUGUCCUGAAUAUCCAUAGCUUCGUCGAUAAUGAGACCUCUCGCGCUUUCCUAACAGGAUACAGUUGGAUAAAGGCGGCGUUUGCUUUGCGGAUUCUCGCCUUGACAUCUUCUCCCGUUACAUCUACCAGACUACACAGCGCAACAACCUAGAAGACAGAAAUCUUCAUACUCACCACUGUGAAAACCUCAAAUCUUAUAUCAACACAACAGAUAUCAAUCAAUGUAGGAUGCCAACCAUUCCAAGGCGUACUCAUAACCACUGCGUUCUUUAACAGAGCAUGUGAAUACUUGAAAGGGUCUUCUAUUGAGUCUUUCUCGAGGUACCAUGUCCUACAACAAUGAAACAAACUCAACUAUUAUAAUUAUUUAAAAUAAACUACCUUUACUAUAAGACCAUUCAAGUGCUGGAUCAGAUGAUGCCCCUAACUUCAGACCAAGUCCCACUGUUUUGUUUUGUCUUCUAGGUCUUGCAACUUCCUCUCCAUGUCUGUCUGAUACUCCGACAGGAGACAGAUAUCGUCGGCAAAAUCUAAGUCUUCGAGUCUGUCAGUAAGACCCCACUGUAUGCCUCUUCUUUUCCUUUCUGUGGCGUUCUUCAUCACCUCGUCCAGUACUAGGAGAAAGAUUGUCGGCGAUAAAAUGCACCCUUGCCUUACUCCAGACUUCACUUCAAGCGAAUCAGAGACUUUCCCUUCAUGAAUUAUCCGACAUGUAUAGUUGUAAUUUUCUCUCGUAAUAUUAAUGAACUUCUCCGGGAUGCCAUGAUUUCGCAUGAUUUUCCACAUGCUCUUUCUCUUGAGGGAAUGAAAGUAUAGCCGCUCAGUAAUAGGAGCUUCGCUCUUUGGUAAUCACUUGACUCUCUUCAGGGGUGUUAACGGUAUGUAACUCCCGACAACUAGAAGCUUCCUUUAUCGCUGAAUAUAAUACUUUAUUUAUACACAAUUUAAUUAUUUAAGAAUAAAUACAGAUGUGCGGAUGAUAAUACUUGGCUUUAGCCACAAGACGAUGAUCUCAGAACUGUAUUGGGUUUGCGUGCGGCUACCUCGAAAGUUUGUUGAAGAGUCCUCUCUCAACCUAUUUAAUGCGUAAGGUCCAGCAACAUCAUCUGCUGAGUGACAAUGAACCAUAAAGUCUAACUAACUUUCUACAUAUUUCCGCCAUAAAUGUUGAAGUAUGACACUUGGGACUACAACCAAUUCACGCCAGUUUAUUGCCCUGGUGUAAAAUCACAAGACUCAUGUGAACCGAAGGUCCUCGGACGUCUUUGUCCUAAACAGUUAGGUAUAUGCCAUGAACUAGAAGUAAACAUCCCAGUAUUACCCUCCAAACACAACAACAAGUUAGAAUUUUGAAACGAAAAGUAAAAAGAAAUUCAGCCUAAUAAAAUAAUAAAAGAACUAAAUGGUAGGAUCAAAUUACCUCAGCAGAAGAUGUAAUUUGGACCGUUACAACAGGUUUUCUCGAAGUCUACAAAAACGAGAUGGAGACUGGCCAUAAACUCGUUGCACUGUUCAACGAUAGUUCUGAGAGUGCUGAUGUGAUUGAUACAAGAGUGUCGCCCUUCUUUGGGAGUUUCACAAGCAGUCCUGUCCAAUCUUUUGGCAUAUGUUCUUGACCCCAAACCUCAAAUCUUAUAGGAACACAACAGAUGUCAAUCCAUGUAGAAUGCCAACCACUCAAAGGCGUACUCAUAACCACUGUGUUCAUGAACAGAGCAUAUGAAAACUUCAAAUGGUCGUGCAUUGAGAUUUUCUCGAGGUACCAUGGCCUACAGCAAUGAAACAAACUCAAGUAUUAUAAUUAUUUAAAAUAAACUACGUUUACCUGGGAAGGACUUCUCUAUUGUCCUGCUCCUCAGUAUCUUCGCACUGCUCAUCCUCGUCUUCUCUAUUAAGAACUUCGUUGAAGUGCUGGUGCCAUCUCUCCAGUUGUGCCUGUUCGUUGGUUAGCAGUUCUCCCUCUCUACUUUUGACUGGGCGGUUUCGGAUGGUUCUUCUUUUUGAGAGUGCGCGUGUGACAUCAUAUAGCUCUUUCAAAUUUCCAGCGUUGGCUGCUGUUUCUGCCUUGUGCGCUAGGUCUGCUAUCCACUUCUUAAGGUAUGCUUUGGCAUGACGCUUAACCUUGUGGUCUUUCUGUAGAUAGGCUGCUUGGACCUCAGUCUUUUGAAGUCUUGUUUUGCAGUUGUUAAGCUGCAACUUGAGCUUCCUCCUCUCCUCAAUUCUUUCCCACGUUUCUGCGGUCAUCCAAUCUUUUCGUUGAACAUUUCAGAAACCUAUCACUUCUACUUCUAUUUGUGAAAGCGGUUUUGAUCUUUGCCCAGUACUCUUCGACGCUCUCACCAGGCUCGCUGUCUAGGUCUUGCAGUACUUCAAAACUUCUCUUUAAUAGUAACAAAUACUUUAAGAAUAAAAAACAUUUUGUUAUAAAUACUUAUUUGCUAAUUAAUAUUUGAAGGAUUUACUUCUCUUUAAUAGUAACAAAUACUUUAAGAAUAAAAAACAUUUUGAUAUAAAUACUUAUUUGCUAAUUAUUAUUUGAAGGAUUUACUUCUCUUUAAUAGUAACAAAUACUUUAAGAAUAAAAAACAUUUUGUUAUAAAUACUUAUUUGCUAAUUAUUUUUUGAACAAUGAACAUAUAUGUAAGAUUUUAGAUCAGAAGUGGUACUGCCUCCAUCAUCAGGGCGAUGAAUA